UGUUCCAUACGAAAAUGUUUAACGUGACGGAAUUCACGUAUCAGUCUCUUCGAGGUUUAUUUAUUCUUCAUCAAUAUGAUUAAUUUAUAAACGACAAGCAGGUUCAUAAUAAUCCAUUAGCCCAUAGAUGCGUUGUGCUAAACACGUCAAUUUCUGAAUCGCGGUGUGCAGAUAUUUCGGAGUGGAGUGACCUUCUGACAUACAUAAGCAGGGUUGAUUUUUUUAUCUAUUACUUGCUGCUGCUUUACCCAUGAGCAUCUAUAUGAAGCAUGUCCACGUAAUCGGCGAUAAAAAAACCAGCAGCGGAAAAUCCAAUGAGCGGCUGAUUAUUUAAAAGAAAUCCUCUAAAUAAUAGCUAUAUAUUUUUUAAUUCACAUUAGCCCUUGUAAAAAUUUACAAGAUCAUAGGUAAGGGCCAAAUACCAAGUAUGAUGGAAACCCACCUGACGACACUGACAUGACGAAGCGGAAACGCUUAAAGAUUUAUAUCGGCCAUCGAACUCCACGAAACAGUCUGGGAUUUUACAAUAUUUUUAUUAUGCAAAUAAAAUUGAGGAGUUAACUACCUUAAAA